GUUGGAGGUCCAAGACUGGGGCGUUGGCUAGGAAGGGGUGGGAGGGCCUCUCUGGAGUCACAGAAGCCUCAUGCAUCUUGACCAGGACGGUGGAUGCAUGGCUUACAUUGGUCACAACUUGUCAACUUGUAUGACUGAAAACUGAACAUCACAUUGAAUUGGACUCAAAGGCAAGACCUGAGGCAAAAUUCAUGUAAGGAGGGAGUUUGGGCGAAGCUUGAGGACUGCUGCCCGGAAGCGUAGAUUCAAGUUGCCCUGAAUACACCUCCUAUUAGCAGCUGUUACAGGUUCAGAAAAAGGAUGGAGGUAGAAAGUCCUCUCUCCCAAACACUAUGAUUGACACUGCAGAGUUCUGCAACUCUCGUACGAGGGAGAUUUCAUGAUGAUCUCAGUAACCGAUCAGAGAAUCAACGACUGACUUCGCUGAGGCACGGUGAUGAAAAGGUCAAGGUGGUCUGGUCUGAGUGAAGUCACAGCAAGAACCCUUGUCCAGGGCCAUUCUCACCUUUGGGGACAGCUCCUUCCCUGUAUGGUCCUCAUGUCACUGCACUUUCCUGCCUUGUUUCUUGCUGAAGCCAUUAUUUCUUAAUUCCUUAGUAGAUAUGCAGAGCGGACAUCCCAAAGAAGCUAGAAAAAUUGAUGAGCAGGGAACAGAUCAAAUCCUCUCCAUCAGUGGAAGGCAAUUCACGAGGGAAGAAGGCAAGACCAUGGGGUAAUUUUUCUGAGACUUGACAAUGUUUGCCAAGUAAAUAAAUCUGCCAUUUAACACUACGAUAAAAGCUGUCAUAGCCAGGGUAUUAGUGACUACUUGAGGUUUGAGGACAAUGAAGACAGAGUAAGAUAAACAUCCUUACUAUCCAGAAAAAAAAAACGGAACCAGAAGACAGCGCUUCUUACUAUCCACAAAAGAAAUGGAACCGCAAGACAGCCCUUCUUAUUUUUCUCCAUCUUCGAUGGUGAGGAAGAAUAAAAAAAAAGUUGCUUUUAAAGUAUAUUCAUUAAAAUCAAAUUCUAUUAUCAUACACACAAAAUAUUUACGUGAAACCAGCCACAAAAGAAUGACAAGGAACGCUACUGAUUUGUCCAUUCUGGGGGAUAAGAACACAGAUUCUUAUCUCACUCUUGUUAAAAGAAAACUUCAGCUGAAUUAAAUUUAAAGGAGUUUAAUUGAGCAAUGAAUGAUUUGCACAUCGGGCAGCCCCCAGAAUUACAGCAGAUUCAGAGAGACUCCAGUGCAGCCACGUGGUGGAAGAUUUAUAGACAAAAAAAGGGAAGUGAGGUAGAGAAACACCUGGAUUAGUUACAGGUUGGCAUUUGCCUUAUUUACACACAGUUUGAACAUUCAGCAGUGUAUGAGUGAUUGAAGUACGGCUGCUGGGACUGGCCGAGACUCAGCAAUUGUGACAGAGGCGGAAGCAACGGAAAAACAUUCAAAGAUAAGAGUCUCAUGAUAGUAAGAAGUCUUGAUCCAUGAUCUUCAGAAAGAGCUGCUCACAUCAAGGAUGCCAUCUUCUUCUGGGGAGAAACUUCCCUGAUUAGCUUUACCUUAAGGGUUUCAAUGGAUGUAGAGUUCCAAGAGUGACCCUGCUCAGUUGUGAGAUUAUGACCCCAAGGUUCAAGAUCCUGAUGUUUUGUUGCAGUGAUGAUGCCAAGGGCAGCGUUUCUCUGAUGUUCUCAGAAGAUCCCAUCUUUGGGUUCUAGAUUGUGAAGGGGUUGAUUGUCCUCAGUGAACCAUAAAAAGCUCUUUACCUGGUGAAAAUACACUGAUACAUAGUAAUCUACUGUUAUAACAUUAGCCCUCCUGCAUGGGAAAGCUUUAGUACAACCAGAACACAUACAUUGAAAAUGACAACUGAAUGAAACCCCUUUAUAAAUGUUUAAAUGCCUCAUCAGGUAGCCAAAUGUACAUGAAGCUUUGAUUGACUUCCCAGGAGUAUGGGUUUGACAAACUAAACAUUGUUUAUAAACUAUUUUAACAAUCUGUAAGUCACCACACCAACAUAUUUAAUUUGGAUCAUUUUAUCUUUUCCAGGAUGAGUCAUGGAAUGCAUAACUUUUAAUAACAAAAGCUUUAAGGACUCACGAAGGACAAGGCAGCCAUCUUGGUUCUCCAUGAGUCCAUGCUUAACAUCGGACUUAUGUCCUCUUGGGUGCCAGUUGUUUCUCCAAAUUGGGCACAUAGCAUGGAUAACUGAUGGGUUAUCACAGGUAAUUUGACUUAGACCAUGGAGUUCAUUCAAAUUGUAUAUCUAAACAAUUUCAGUAUAGGCUGAUUAAGUAUGCAAACCUGGUGAAGCAUUUCCUCGGUAUUCAAUUAAUUUUUAUUCUAUUUGGGUUAGCAGUUUUAUAAGCCAGUCAGUCUUUUCAUUAAAGUUUCAGCAAUUCUUACCCAGUCCAAAUGAUGUGAUUUUGAAGUUACUAGAAACCUGUAUUCCACAGUGCUUUUCAGGGUCCUCCCCAUCCGUUCACGAACCUCCUAAAAGACACCAUGUUCUAGGAUUUUUGUGUGCUUGUGAAGUUUUCAGAAACUACAUCAGCAUGAAGCAAUUAACUGCGGAAAUGACUUUAAAUACUCAAAAAGACACAAUUGACAAAGAAAUUUGGUUAUAACAACAACAUAACCAUAAUUAUGAUCGGUAGCAUAUACUCAGAAAAAUUAGAAUUUUAGAAAUCCCAUACAACUUUGGAACAUAUAUUAAUAUCAUUCACUAAAAUAUAACCUGAAGAAGGUUAAAUUUUUUUUUUGACACUAUUCUGUAUCGAAAAGUCCAAAAUGUUUCUUAAAAAGUAACUAAAAAAACACUGGAGUAAUUAAAGGACACUUCCUGUGCAGGGGAUGGAAAAAUCUCAACAAAAAAGGAGCGCAGAAGAGCCUGGCUAGGCGGGAGAACACGGUCAGGCCCGCAGGAGACGCCGCGGCACCUGCCAGAAAGAGAGCCGCAGGCCAAGACCAGGAGACGCGAGAGAGGUGGGCAGGGCUGCCCGAGAGACCCAGGCGGCCAUUGCCCGCCCUGCGUCUGCGCCUGCGCCGGAGCCUCCUCCACACUGCGCCAGCGCCGAGUCCGGCCGCCUCCUCAUUGCGCCGGCGCCGGGGCUUCCUCCACACCGCGCCUGCGCCGAUGACAACCCGCCUCUACAGGACGCCUGCGCAACGCCAUAGUCACCUCAUCAGCUCCGUGCACUUACGAGUCUCUCUCUGAUCGACCACGUGUUCCUGUCGGCUCACAGAGGCCGCCUCAGGGUCCUCCCCCAUUGUCUUCCUCGCACCCUCCACUGUUCCCGGCCCUUCACUCUGCGCUUGCGCAGGAGUCGCUCGCUCCUCUCUGCGCCUGCGCAGAGGCCACCUCCUCCCCGCCCGUCCGCUCCCUUGGCGUCGUCUUGGGCCGCGCCCCGACCCCUUCUGUUUACGCAUGCGCAGGAGCCGCCCUGCGCGGGUGGGGGGCUGAGCCCCUGUGGCUUCAGGUUUAAAGGCGCGAGCGCCACCCACGCAGGCACAAGGGCUCCUAGUCGUUUUAUUUUUAGCGUAAGGUUUUCCUCUUUAACAAGGAAGUAAAAAAAAAAGUUGUGCAAUAAAUAUUAAUCGUCCUUAUAUGUACUCGGGAACGUUCGUCCUUUAGGUUUUCUCCUGGCGCAUGGGCGCCGCCAAUCAUUUCGGGGCUUAUUUUGGUUCUAAAGCCCGGGGCAGCCAGGCCUCCCUGCCUGGCCUCGGCGGGGACGCGGGACCUGGGGCCCCGGACCGGGCCUAACCGCCCUGGCCGGUCCCCACUGAUGGUGGCGGUCGGUCCUGAUCGUCCUGAUGGCAGCGACCAGGCUGGACUCGGGCUGUGCAGGGGCGAGGGGAGCAGGGCGGGGUGACGCCCGGAGAGCGGCCUGGAGAGCGCGUGCUUCAGAAGGCGUGGGCACCCUGUCCCCUUUGCAGAUGGGGAUGCAGGCCCUGGUGGCGGUGGAGGGGAGAUGGGGGCAGGGACGUUGCCGGGCAGAGGAAGCUGGAAGUUUGGCUGCUGUAACUGACUGGGAAGCUUAAAAUAACAGACAAUCAUCUCUCACAUUUAUGGGGACUGGGAAGUCCAAGACCAAGUUGCCAUCUGGGGAGGGCCUGUUCCUCACAGCGCCUUCCAGCUCAGGCCUCGUUUAUAAGGGCACUCAAGCCUUCCACGACAACGGGUCCUCAUGACUUACUCACCUCGGAAAGCCCCACCCCCAAGACCAUCACAUUGUGGGUGAUGGCAGAGCAUAAGGUGCCUUCCCCACAUGCUCGGGUUGGCCCAGCGUCUCACGCUAGCAGCUACGUGGAAUAGUUAUUUUUUCUGGAGAACUCUGGGACCCCUCUGAUGUCUUGGAGCACCCACACAGGCCGUUCACUGUGCACGCUGUGAGGCUGUCGUCUUGGAGCACCCACACAGGC
rnacentral:lncRNA from 1 species